UACGUAGGGUGCGAGCGUUAAUCGGAAUUACUGGGCGUAAAGCGUGCGUAGGCGGUCCGCGAAGUCUGAUGUGAAAUCCCCGGGCUCAACCUGGGAACUGCAUUUGUGACUGCAUCGCUGGAGUGCGGCAGAGGGGGAUGGAAUUCCGCGUGUAGCAGUGAAAUGCGUAGAUAUGCGGAGGAACACCGAUGGCGAAGGCAAUCCCCUGGGCCUGCACUGACGCUCAUGCACGAAAGCGUGGGGAGCAAACAGG
rnacentral:rRNA from 1 species